ensembl:lncRNA
GGGAUUUUGUGUCAUCAUUACUGCAGCAGGAUCCCAGGAAGCGGCCGAGUGCUACUUCCUGUCUCCAACAUCUGUGGGUGGGUCGUGGAGGUGGGGAGUACUCCAAGACACCACUGGACACGGCACGGUUGGCCACAUUUAUCGAUCGAAGGAGACAACUGCACGACGUUCGGCCCAUUAUGAACGUGAAAGGGCUGGACUGAACUAAGGGUGGUGUAAUAUUUGCUCUGGGGACCUAGAGCAGUCCGUUUACUCGACACAUGGAGUUCAGAGGAUGCCUAAACCUACUGAACUAAACGAGUGUGACUGUACAGCCGUGUAGCAGCAGACUCUGACUGAACUGUAGUGAAUGUGCUGGACUGUCCUGAACCACAAUAAACGGAGUUAAAAUGCAAACAUGUUGGCAUUACUUCAAGGAAGAUCAAACAGCGUCUGGAUCGCCGCCUUCUGUGGUACAUAUGGACGACUACCGGACGUUAGCAGGAUGCACCAUGGACACAGUUUGCAUCAGUGUUUACAGAUUCUUUGUCCAAAAAGUAGGUAGUUUACAGACUAGUAAAUACAAAUCAGGAAAGACCUGCAUGUAAAUCACCAGUAAUGGUUUAGAAAUCAGGUUACAAAACUGUCUGUUUCUGUAAGUAAAGCCUGUGACAUUUGGUGUGAAGGUGGGAAACUCCACCCUGAAGUCUGUUUUGUUGUAUGUUUGUUUACCAGUCACUGUGGUGAAUAACUGUAGUGGUUGGAUCUCAUUCAUUCAGCUUGUAAAUGUGCUCGUGCGGCUGCAGACCCUUUGGAUGAAGUGGCCGCUGUUCCUGGGAGGCAGACGUUUACUGAUGAAUGUACUUUCUUGUGGAAUGUGCUCUGUCGUCUGCUUUCACCCACUCGCCACACUCCCCGUUUUUCAUCCUCAAUCUUCCUCUAAGCAUUUAGUGUCAAACAACAGCAAAGCUCAUGUUCAUGCUUGGAUACUAAAUGGUCCACAGGAAGGGAAUUCGUCUUUAGAAGCAACUUUCAUAUCGGACGUCUGGUAAAAUAUUACCAAGUGUCUGUCACUGCAGCUGCAAUCGAUUCAGGUGUGUCCGAGUGCUGUUUUUCUUUUUUUACCACUCUCUCUUUCUAGUAGAGAUUCUUGCUGUCUUAUUGUGGACUUGUUGGUCUUGUUCAUUAUUUGAACUAAAAAUAGCAGACUUCCCCAGUUUUUUCGACCUCUCAUGCAAAAUAAAUCAAUCAAUA